AGCGAACGCUGGCGGCAGGCCUAACACAUGCAAGUCGAACGGAUCCUUCGGGAUUAGUGGCGGACGGGUGAGUAACACGUGGGAACGUGCCCUUUGGUUCGGAACAACUCAGGGAAACUUGAGCUAAUACCGGAUGUGCCCUUCGGGGGGAAGAUUUAUCGCCAUUGGAGCGGCCCGCGUCUGAUUAGCUAGUUGGUGGGGUAAAGGCCCACCAAGGCGACGAUCAGUAGCUGGUCUGAGAGGAUGAUCAGCCACAUUGGGACUGAGACACGGCCCAAACUCCUACGGGAGGCAGCAGUGGGGAAUCUUGCGCAAUGGGCGAAAGCCUGACGCAGCCAUGCCGCGUGAAUGAUGAAGGUCCUAGGAUUGUAAAAUUCUUUCACCGGGGACGAUAAUGACGGUACCCGGAGAAGAAGCCCCGGCUAACUUCGUGCCAGCCGCCGCAGUAA
rnacentral:rRNA from 1 species